rnacentral:rRNA from 1 species
AUUGAACGCUGGCGGCAGGCCUAACACAUGCAAGUCGAACGAGUGGCGGAAGGGUGAGAUAGGAAUGGGAAACUGCCUGGUGGAGGGGGAUAACUACGGGGAACAGAAGCUAAUACCGCAUCCAAGAGGAUGUGACAAGGUGGGGUGAGGUAGUGGGGGGGGUAACGGCGAACCAAGGCGACGAUCCAUAGUUGGUCUGAGAGGAUGACCAGCCACACUGGAACUGAGACACGGUCCAGACUCCGACGGGAGGCAGCAGUGGGGAAUAUUGCACAAUGGGCGCAAGCCUGAUGCAGCCAUGCCGCGUGUGUGAAGAAGGUCUUCGGAUUGUAAAGUACUUUCAGCGGGGAGGCGUUACCCGCAGAGUAAGCACCGGCUAACUCCGUGCCAGCAGCCGCGGUAAUUC